rnacentral:rRNA from 1 species
UGGGGAAUCUUGCGCAAUGGCCGAAAGGCUGACGCAGCGACGCCGCGUGGGGGAUGAAGGUUUUCGGAUCGUAAACCCCUGUUGCCCGGGACGAAACUCCUUUUUCGAGAGGAUUGACGGUACCGGGUGAGGAAGCACCGGCUAACUCCGUGCCAGCAGCCGCGGUAAUACGGAGGGUGCGAGCGUUGUCCGGAAUCACUGGGCGUAAAGGGCGCGUAGGCGGCCCGGCAAGUCGAUGGUGAAAGCUCGCGGCUCAACUGCGAGUCGGCCACUGAUACUGCUGGGCUAGAGCACUGUAGAGGCAGAUGGAAUUCCGGGUGUAGCGGUGGAAUGCGUAGAGAUCCGGAAGAACACCGGUGGCGAAGGCGGUCUGCUGGGCAGUUGCUGACGCUGAGGCGCGACAGCGUGGGGAGCAAACA